UACGUAGGGCGCAAGCGUUGUCCGGAAUUAUUGGGCGUAAAGAGCUCGUAGGCGGCCAGUUGCGUCUGCUGCGAAAUCCCGGGGCUCAACCCCGGGCGUGCAGUGGAUACGGGCUGGCUAGAGGCAGGCAGGGGAGAACGGAAUUCCCGGUGUAGCGGUGAAAUGCGCAGAUAUCGGGAGGAACACCGGUGGCGAAGGCGGUUCUCUGGGCCUGUACUGACGCUGAGGAGCGAAAGCGUGGGGAGCGAACAGG
rnacentral:rRNA from 1 species